rnacentral:tRNA from 1 species
GGACGGUUAGCUCAGUUGGCUAGAGCACCUCGUUUACACCGAGGGGGUCAUAGGUUCGAGUCCUAUACCGUCCACCA